rnacentral:misc_RNA from 1 species
UUUGCUUAUGAGUACAAGUAGAUGAAGUUAGUUGAAUAAUGUACAUUGUACAAAUUUUCUUCGCGGCAUUGAUAUGCACUUGAUGACGUUUCACCUACAGUAAUAGUUGACGAGAGUUUAAUUCCAAACCAACCUCCAUCUUUGACACAGCGCGCCGUCGGAAAGUUUCUGCAGCCUCUAACGAAACAGUUGGUUGAAGUACCACCUAGAAACAAUUGCCUGAAUAUUGUCGAAGAUGUAAUCAAAAUUUUUCCACUGAAAAAGGACCAGCUCAGACGAGUUUCACUACGAAGACAACGCAAAAGCGAUGGAAAUAUUACCCAGACCUUACUGCUAAGUUGUCUUCCAAUCAAAUACGGGAUAUGAUGAUGAAUGAGGUUGGUCGUCCAUUUAAAAAUGAAGCUUGUAGGUGGUAUAAUGAAAAUUAUCCUACUGUGAAGUAUGAUUGUAUUUUACGCAAAUUUUCAAAAUAAAUACUUACCUACAAUAAACCCAAGGCUCUAAACUAUUACAAUGUUUUGUUUCUUUUAACUAAUUUUUAUUUCCUGUAAGUACUGUAAGUCUACUAAUGUUACAAAAGAAAUAAAUUUCAUUUAUUUACUAGCUAACCCCGCAAACGUUGUUUUACCAUAAAUAGUAUUAACGCCUUUACCCCCCCCCCCCCCCGCGCCUUAUAACUUAGGGCUAUGAAAAUAGAUGUUGGCCGAUUCUCAAACAUACCCGAUAUACAUACAUAAUUUAAUAAAAAUCGGUCUAGCCGUUUCGGAAAAGUAUGGUAACUAACAUUGUGACACGAGAAUUUUUAUAUAUAAGAUUUAAACUAAAAUACAGGUGUAUUCGAAAAUAAAAGUUUACUAAAAAAUUAACUGAGUUCAUAAUUUAUCUCCGAUUCUUAAGUAAAAGUAAAACAUUGUAGUUGCUAUGUAUUCCGAAUCUUUACAUGUGAUAU